GUAGGGAAUAUUGCACAAUGGAGGAAACUCUGAUGCAGCGACGCCGCGUGAGUGAUGAAGGCCUUCGGGUCGUAAAGCUCUGUCGCAGGGGAAUAACACAAUGAAGGUACCCUGUGAGGAAGGAUCGGCUAACUUCGUGCCAGCAGCCGCGGUAAGACGAGGGAUCCUAGCGUUGCUCGGAAUCAUUGGGCGUAAAGAGGGCGUAGGUGGCUUGGUAAGUCAGGUGUGAAAGCCCAGGGCUCAACCCUGGAAGUGCAUUUGAUACUGCUGAGCUUGAGUGUCGGAGAGGUUACCGGAAUACCUGGUGUAGUGGUGAAAUACGUAGAUAUCAGGUGGAACACCGGAGGCGAAGGCGGGUAACUGGACGAACACUGACACUGAGGCCCGAAAGCGUGGGGAUCAAACAGGAUUAGAAACCCCAGUAGUCC
rnacentral:rRNA from 1 species